rnacentral:lncRNA from 1 species
AGCCAAAAAUUCAUCCGAAUACUCAAGUUAUGGCUCCAACCAUUACUACAAAUAAAACCACUUACUUACUGCCUUUGAUUUGAAAGCCUUCAACUCCUUACAACUCCUUCAUAUAAACUCCAAAAGUAAUAAUUCUUUCAUGAAAGAUGUAGGCCUUGAAAUUGCCGUUCCAAUUACACCCUCCAAUCUUCAAAAGCUGCUGUAAAACUCUUCAUACUCUCAAAAGAGUAAUAGUAUGUCUUAAAUAAAUACCUUAACUUCAAAUGGCUAUAAUUUUUUCACCCUAACUCCAAAUCCUCUAAUUUUUGUACACAAAUUGUACCCCAAAUCCUAAACUUUACAACCCUAGCUUGUAAUCUCUGAAUGCCUCCGAAAGAGGAAUCCUAAUCCCUAAUAAGGCCUCAGGCAGCCUCCUUGAAGUCCAUUGGGCAUGAUAUUCGACCAAUAGGGAUGAAGUUCUCCAUUCCUUGCCUUCAUCCAACCAUGCUUUGUUUUUAUCCCUCCCAAUUAGCCUCCUAUUAGUUUAGAUUUUCAUCCUUAGGCUUCCACCUUCUUCCAAGGCUUCAUA